AUUAAUGGUCUUUUUACCUCUUCUUCUAUUAUAUAUAAAUGUUUCGAACAGUUGUAUAAUAUUGAAUAUUACACGAAAAGACAGCCAAUUCCAGACGAAAUAUUCAUUUCGAACAAAUAAUAAGUGAGCACCUCAACAAUCUAGAACGAUGGAAUACAUUCAAGUUCUUCUGUUUUUGGUGUUUUUGAUCUGCAGUGUCAUUCUUGGAACAUCUGCUCAGCUUUUGCAAGUGGAUCUGCUUCCGCAAUCGCAACGAGUUGCCCAACCAAGCAAUGAAAGGAUGCUUGCUUCGAUCAAUGCGUUAUGAGUGGUCACGUGACCUAAUUCGUCAUCCUCACUUGCUGAUUCGUCAUAGAUGACGAUAUUAAAAAACAAGUUGAAUUAAUUUUAUAUGUGAAUGUGGCGUGCUGUGCAUUACAAAAAAUUA